rnacentral:rRNA from 1 species
GCUCAGGACGAACGCUGGCGGCGUGCUUUACACAUGCAAGUCGAGCGGUAAGGCCUUUCGGGGUACACGAGCGGCGAACGGGUGAGUAACACGUGGGUGACCUGCCCUCCACUCUGGGAUAAGCCUGGGAAACUGGGUCUAAUACCGGAUAUGACCACAUGUCGCAUGGUGUGUGGUGGAAAGCGUUUAGUGGUGGGGGAUGGGCCCGCGGCCUAUCAGCUUGUUGGUGGGGUGAUGGCCUACCAAGGCGACGACGGGUAGCCGGCCUGAGAGGGCGAUCGGCCACACUGGGACUGAGACACGGCCCAGACUCCUACGGGAGGCAGCAGUGGGGAAUAUUGCACAAUGGGCGGAAGCCUGAUGCAGCGACGCCGCGUGAGGGAUGACGGCCUUCGGGUUGUAAACCUCUUUCAGUACCGACGAAGCGAGAGU